rnacentral:rRNA from 1 species
UACGAAGGGGGCUAGCGUUGUUCGGAAUCACUGGGCGUAAAGCGCACGUAGGCGGAUUUUAAGUCAGGGGUGAAAUCCCGAGGCUCAACCUCGGAACUGCCUUUGAUACUGGAGAUCUUGAGUCCGGAAGAGGUAAGUGGAACUGCGAGUGUAGAGGUGAAAUUCGUAGAUAUUCGCAAGAACACCAGUGGCGAAGGCGGACUUACUGGUCCGGAACUGACGCUGAGGUGCGAAAGCGUGGGGAGCAACAGG